GGAAGUAAAAGUCGUAACAAGGACUCCGUAGGUGAACCUGCGGAGGGAUCAUUACAGAGUUCAUGCCCUACCGGGUAGAUCUCCCACCCUAUGUUAUUAUUACUUUGUUGCUUUGGCGGGCCGUUAGGCUCCGGCCCGACUACCGGCCCCGGCUGGUAAGCGCCCGCCAGAGGACCCAAAACCCUGAAUAUUAGUGUCGUCUGAGUACUAUAUAAUAGUUAAAACUUUCAACAACGGAUCUCUUGGUUCUG
rnacentral:misc_RNA from 1 species